UACAGAGGGGGCAAGCGUUAUUCGGAAUUAUUGGGCGUAAAGGGCGCGUAGGCGGCUUGGCAAGUGGAAGGUGAAAUCCCUCGGCUUAACCGAGGAACUGCCCUCCAAACUGCUUUGCUUGAGGCCGGGAGAGGUAAGUGGAAUUCCCAGUGUAGCGGUGAAAUGCGUAGAUAUUGGGAGGAACACCAGUGGCGAAGGCGGCUUACUGGACCGGUUCUGACGCUGAGGCGCGAAAGCGUGGGGGGCAAACGGG
rnacentral:rRNA from 1 species